CCUUGGUACAUUCACUAAACAAUUAUUUAAAUUAUGAUAUACUUUAAAUUGUGUUUUUUUUUUCUAUUGCAGGUUUUUACACGACGGAGACAGGAUGGUGGUUUUUGCUGAUGUCCACCAUUUAAUUAAACUACAGAGAAAUCAUUUUUUGGAUAAGGGCUUUAUUAUCAAUGGAAAAAUUGUUAGAAAAGACAUUACUCUGAAGCUGAUCUCGCUUACCUCCAACGACCUGCCCCUCACGCACAAAAUUUCUCACAAGCAUUUGUCUCUAACAGGAGCAGAAAGGCAAAAGGUUAAACUAGCCACAAAAUUGUUCUCCCACACAAUUGCUCAAGCAAUAACUCGAGCCGCUAGUUUAGGUCUGCUAGAUAACGAAAAUUGGGAGGAAUGCCAUCGACUUUUCAAAAUUAGUGCCCAAAGAUGGAGUGAGGGAGCGCUUACACGCCUACGGUUUGGCUUUGAACAAGCAAAAUAAUGUACUGGAACAGAUGACGGAGAUGGUUUCAUCAAUGAGAGUCAUUGGUAAAAAUGCGUUGCUUCCAUUCCAAAAAGGUAUACUCCAAAGCAAUAAUGCUUUGAAAUUUCUGCUGGAUGACUUAAGACAGCGGUACAAAAUUGAUUACAUUUUGACCUACCAUUAAAACAGGACGUAUUGGAAAUUUUUUUUGGCGUAAUCAGGUCAAAAGGCGGUCUUCACGAUCACCCUGACAGGCAGGGGUUCAAAUAUAGGCUGCGUUCCUAUAUAGUUGGUCACAACGAAGGAGCGAUCGCAGAAGAAGGAAAUGUUAAAGUCGACAACACACCAGAUUUGGAAGGUAUCCCUCGAAUAGCACGGUACUUGAGUUGCACGAAAUCUCGAAUUGCACGGUUAAAAAUCGACCCUCGAAUAAUACGGAGUUCGAAUUUCACGAAGUUGCGAAAAUUCCUGUUAAAAAUUGAGUAUAAUUUUCCUUCGAACGACUGUUUGUAGUAUGACGCAAUAAUGCAUUUGAAUAACGCAAUAUUUGGUCAGUUCUCCUGUGCAGUCGUCUCGAAUGGGUUAAAGUGAGCAGAUCGAAAUAUUUAAGACGUUUUUUUAAAUUUUGUGCAUCAAGUAGUGAGUGCUUAGCUUACUGGCCCAUGUGACUGAUUUUAAACUUUCCAAAGUACAUACGAACUAAAGAUUUUUUAGUUGAAGAUUUGUAAGGUUUCUAUAGUUAUAUUGUGCAGUUUUUGAAAUUUUAUCCUCGAUUCUUAAGUUUGCAAAAUGUCGUUGGAAAAAAAAUUACCCUUGAAAAGAAACGUUAUUGCACCUAAGGAAAAAAUGGAAAUUUUAGACAAGUUAAAAGAAGGAGUUAAAAUAUCGACUUUAGCAAAACCAUUGAAUUUACAUGAAGCACGAUUAAAAGAAAUGAGGACAAAAUAAGGAUGAAUGUCUUAGCAGGUUGCUCUACAACAUCAAAGCGAACGGAUUGCGCACGGGAUGUUAACGUUGUCAAAAUGGAAGAAGCUCUUUCAAUUUGGAUACAAGAUUGCAAUGAUAAACGGAUUCCUUUAGAUGGACUUACUAUCAGGCAGAAAGCUCUGAACAUCUAUAAAUAUUUGAAGGAAAUGGCAAGCUCAUCUGCACAAGAACAACAACAAAAGUCAUUUUGUGCGAGUAAGGGCUGGCUCGAGAAAUUCAAAACAAGAUUCUGGUUGCGCAGUCUCAAACUUCAAGGUGAGAUUGCUUCAGCGGAUGCAGAAGCUGCUGGUGUUUUUAUUUUAGAACUACAAAAAAAUUGUAGAAGAUGGAGACUAUUCAGCGGAUCAGAUUUUCACCGUAGAUGAAACAACCUUCUAUUGGAAAAGGAUGCCAUCUCGAACCUAUAUUUCAAAAAGCCAAAAAUCUGUUCCUGGAUUCAAAGCAGAUAAACAGAGACUUACUCUUUUAAUGUGCACUAACGCAUCAGGGAAUUUUAUGUUAAAGCCUAUGGUUAUUAGCCGAUCUUUGAAUCCCCGACCAUUA